CUCUGGGUGCCCCAUUGCUGGAGGCGUUCAAGGCCAGGCUGGAUGUGGCUCUCAGCAGCCUGCUCUGCUGGUUUGCAGCCCUGCCCACAGCAGGGGGGUUGGAACUACAUGAUCUUUGAGGUCCUUUUCAACUCAGGCCGUUCUGUGAUUCUACGAUUAAGUGAACCAACUACCUAAUUCUCCUUUAAACGGCAAAAUCAGAAAAACAAAUGCCCUCUUUUCUAGAGCUUCUCUCCAGCAGAAGAGCGUUAUAAAUUCUGACCAUUUUCCUUUGAACUGAUUCCUAGUGCAUGUUUCUUGUUUAGGAAAAUCAAGCGUAUUUGGAGUGGCAGUUGUGAGACAUUGCCUAACUGGACUUGUACAAAGCAUUUGAUGCUGUCCUCUACAACACCCUUGUCUUCAAAUUGGAGAGAAAUUGAUUUGACAGAUGGACUGCUUGGUGGAUAGGGAACUGACUGGAUGGUUACAUGAAGAGAGUUGCAGUCAACAGCUCUAUAUCAGGAAACAUUCCGGGGAACUGGUGAACCUGAAAAAUGAUCCGUGUGUAAAAAGCCUACUCAACAAAGAUCGGACUAGAGUCAAAAAAUUAAAUUCAUCACCAAGACUUCACCAUUCACUGCAGAGAAAUUUAUGGAGUUUCUCAUAACAGGACAAUUCUUUACAAAGAGAAUCUGAGGAUUUAUCUCAAACUGAAGUGUUGAUACAAGGACAUUUGUGCCUGGAAGAAAAUGUAAACCACACAAUAACUGUUAAGCAGGACCAUGUGGUAUUUACCUAAGUGCUCCAAAGGAGCUCCCUGUGAAGGCUAUGAACUAUGGUGCAUGAUAUAUUGCUUAAACCAGCCUUAAUAUGAGAGAAAUAUAAGGUGAUAAAUACAGUGGAAAUGUUCUAAAAGAACAGAGAAAGUACAUAAAUGGAUAAAUGCAAUAUGUCUAGGAAGGGCUUGAAGAGGACAAUAAAGCCUUUUAGAAGAAAAUAUGACCAUAUAAAUCUAUUACAGUUCUUUGAUGCAGUCACUGAACUUGUGACUAACACUGAUACAGUGAUUUUAUCAGUAAGCACUUGACAAGAUCUCUCAACAGAUAUGUUUAAAGAAACUAAGCUGUCAUAGGAGUGUUCAAAUAGAUUAUUAAUUUGUUUGAAAAUAAAGAGUAAGAAUAAAUGGUUGGCUUUUGCAAUUGAAAGAGGUUACCAGCAAAGCCCAAAGGAGCUAUAUUGAUCUCAGGCAGUUCAUUAAAUGAACUGGGAAGGGACUGAAGAGUGAGGUGAUGAAGUUUGUAAAUGAUACACUAUUAUUCGAGCUAGCCAAAACUAAAGCUGACAACAACUAGUUUUUCAUGAUACUAAGUGCUGGGUUCAGAGAAAGUAAAUAGGGAACAAUUAAGUGCAAGAAUUUAUUGGCAACUAAUGGAAUUAAGUUUAAAGCAGUUUAAAGCAAACGAAAGGAAAUACUUUUUCUGCAAAUAAUUAAUAUGUGGAACUCAUGCUGUGGAGCUCAAAGUUGCAAUUAGAAGGUAAUUAGAGAAGUUCAUGAAAAAACAGGUCAUACAGCAUUGGUAAAUGCAAUGGUGUAAGUAAAACUUCUGGCUUAAGGAGCCUCUAGAUAAGUCAUUACUGGAAGCUGGGAAGGUAAAGGAAUGGAAGAUUCAUUCUGUAACUGCAGUGUUCUUAUAUUCUUCCCCUAAGCGUCUGCUAUCAGCUGAAUUACAGCCAACUGAAUGAAAACAUAUUACAGCCAACUGAAUGAAAAGAUUUGAGCACUGACUCCUAAAACUUGGGAAUAUCCUAUUCUUUUUUUUUUUUUCAUUUAUUUGUUUCUUUGUUUUGUUUUUGUGUUUUACCCAUCUCUAUCUGCCUCAUCUUGUAGGUUAGGGACAAGGACAUUUAUUGCAUGUUUAUAGAUAAGUAAUAAGCUAACUUUCACAGAAAAGACUUGUUGUAUUACCAAAAUAAAUAAAUAAAUAAAUAAAUAAAUAAAAAUAAAAGCCCACAAGAAAAACCUAUAAUAAAGAAAAUUAAACUGCAGUGUCAAGCAGUUUUAAGUUCUGAAAGAUGGAAUUUAAAGUCAUCCAAGCAAGCUUUAACCUUCAUAAUCAAAGUAAAUAGAAAUAACUAAAAAGAAGAGAAGUCUAGGGUAGAUGUCAUGUUUUCCUCAAUCUAUGUAUUCAUUUGUCAUUUUCUAUGCAAAAUCAAUUCAUUUGAGCACAAAAAGUCAUAAAGCAUACAGCUGCAACUGGGUCCUUCAUUUUAAAAUUUCAGCAUGAGUAAAGGAAUGAUAAAUUACAGAUAACUGAAAAUAAGAAAUAUGCGAAUCAAAACUCCAAAACAAAAGAAAAGAUGGGGAAGUUUGGGAAGCCAUAACAUGCCUAAGGGAAGAGCUUUGCAGAAGGGAUGUUAUCUGUUGGUUUGCAAAGUACUUGUGCCCAUUGGUGAGAUGGAAUUAGGGAAUUACUUUCUCUGCUGGGAUUGCAGUUGGAACAGGUUACUUGGAAACAUGUUCCAGCACUAAGCUUGAUUCAGUAAGAAGUUGUAGGAUUUCCUUCAUCAUCAAAUAUAGAUAUAACAUGAGAAAAAUGUGUUUAUUUCUAGGAAAAGACCACAGAAAUGCAUUUAAAUAUCCGUCUCCAUAUCUUUUGGAUGUGAACAACAAAGACUGGCAAGUUCAGACUCUGAACAAGUGAAGAGCAAUUUCUCUGCCGGUAGCUUGCCAGAGAAAGAAGCAUCCAGAGCAGUGCUAUAUUAGACAUUAUAUAUAAAAUAAGAGGUUAUGAGAGAGAAGCUAGCCUGGGCACUCUUUUUCUCCCCAGAGUCUUUUCUCCUCGCAAACAUUUUAUAUUAAAUCUUUGAUCUCUUUGCACCAGGGUGGUCGGGUUACUGAACACCAUUUCUUUUGUGCUAUUCAUCUUAUUUAUACUCCAGUUUCUCCUUCCUGUUCUGUACUGAUGGCACAAUGUGUUAAAGGUACCUAAAUUAAUACCAUCUAAAGUGGAGAGCAACACCUGAAAGUCUUCAUCUUUUUGUUUGUUGCUUCUUUAGGUCAAAAUACUGAACAAAUUUUGGUAUACACAAAUCUAAAAUCCAUGAUGGAGCUGGGCUGUGCAUGCAGACUGCUUAUCCGUCUGCAGUGGCUUGAAAAUUCCAAGGGGAAAUGGUCAGCAACAUUAGACAAACUGACCAAGUCCAUUUGCAUCCUAUUCACUAGCUGGGUACAGGACUCAGUGUCGGGGAAGAUAUCUUUCUUGUAUUAUGACAAUGCCUCCCAAUGGGAAUGCAAGAGAAGAUAUUAAGGACCAUGAGCAGCCUUCUGCCAGUCUCAGAAUCAACCGAGUUAAGUAAGCUUUCUGCCAAGAAGGGAAGAAAGUACUUCUUUCCUCACUCUUUCUUUCUUUCUCCAGUCCCCCAAUAGACUCUGUGACAACACAUACUCCUUUUUCAAACUUUUCAAGUCUGCAUUCAAUUUUCUAUUGUUGAUGAUCUGAUGAUUUGUGCUAAUACACUUAUUCAUAUUUAACUGCUAAAAUUGCUGGCUCACUUGGAGUAAAAAGUGUCUUUUUUUUUUCUUAAGAUAAAAAUCAGUAUUGUACUUUCUCCUAGCUGUGCUGUGACUUCUGGACGUACAAUAACAUAGUAAUCUCACCAGCAGUUUGCUUUCUUUUGCUCACACUGAAUUAUUUAAUCUUACCCGACAAGCCUCUGAUUGAGAGAAAAUGUACCAGUAUACAAAGGAAUAUCCUGCUGCAAGAUAUUAUCAAAAACAAGUGGCCCGGUAAGAUUGAAAAGAAGGAUGGGUACUUACGAGAACAAGAAUGGAAUCUGCAUUUAUGCCAAUGAGGAUAAAAGAAAAUGAGAUUCAUCAGCUGUUGUGCUUCAGAGUCUAAGCUGUUCACCAAUUACAG
rnacentral:lncRNA from 1 species